CCUACGGGGGGCUGCAGUGGGGAAUAUUGCACAAUGGGCGCAAGCCUGAUGCAGCGACGCCGCGUGAGCGAUGAAGGCCUUCGGGUCGUAAAGCUCUGUCCUAAGGGAAGAAUAAUGACGGUACCUUAGGAGGAAGCCCCGGCUAACUACGUGCCAGCAGCCGCGGUAAUACGUAGGGGGCGAGCGUUAUCCGGAAUCACUGGGCGGAAAGGGUGCGUAGGCGGCCCUGCAAGUCAGGAGNUAAAUCCCUCGGCCAAANCGAGGUCAGCNCUUGAAAUGUAGGGCUUGAGUGNAGGANAGGGGAGCGGAAUUCCUGGUUUUGCGGUGAAAUGCGUAGAUAUUAGGAGGAACACCAGUGGCGAAGGCGGCUCUCUGGACUGCAACUGACGCUGAGGCACGAAAGCGUGGGGAGCGAACAGGAUUAGAUACCCCGGUAGUC
rnacentral:rRNA from 1 species